GACGAACGCUGGCGGCGUGCUUAACACAUGCAAGUCGAACGGAAAGGCCCUGCUUUUGUGGGGUGCUCGAGUGGCGAACGGGUGAGUAACACGUGAGUAACCUGCCCUUGACUUUGGGAUAACUUCAGGAAACUGGGGCUAAUACCGGAUAGGAGCUCCUGCUGCAUGGUGGGGGUUGGAAAGUUUCGGCGGUUGGGGAUGGACUCGCGGCUUAUCAGCUUGUUGGUGGGGUAGUGGCUUACCAAGGCUUGGACGGGUAGCCGGCCUGAGAGGGUGACCGGGCACAUGGGGACUGAGAGACGGACCAGACUCGUACGGGAGGCAGCAGUGGGGAAUAUUGCACAAUGGGCGGGAGCCGGAUGCAGAAACGCCGCGGGCGGGAUGACGGCCUGCGGGUUGUGAACCGCUUUCGCCUGUGACGAAGCGGGAGUGACGGUAAUGGGUAAAGAAGCACCGGCUAACUACGUG
rnacentral:rRNA from 1 species